GCCCUUGUAGUACAAGCAAAUACACCAGUCUUGUAAACUGGAAAUGGACACCCCCCCCCUCCCAAGGGGA
rnacentral:tRNA from 1 species